GGUAGUUCAGUUGGUUAGAACGCCGGCCUGUCACGCCGGAGGUCGAGGGUUCAAGUCCCUUCCGCG
rnacentral:tRNA from 1 species